rnacentral:rRNA from 1 species
GUGAACGCUGGCGGCACGCCUAACACAUGCAAGUCGAACGGAAUUAUAGAGUAGCUUGCUAUUCUGUAGUUUAGUGGCAAACGGGUGAGUAAUGCAUGAGUAACCUACCCUUAAGUCUGGGAUAACGUUCUGAAAAGGACGCUAAUACUGGAUAUUCUUCUUUUUCCGCAUGGAGAGAGAAGGAAAGUUUUUCGCUUAAGGAGGGGCUUAUGUCUGAUUAGCUAGUUGGUAGGGUAAAGGCCUACCAAGGCGAUGAUCAGUAGCUGGUCUGAGAGGAUGGACAGCCACACUGGGACUGAGACACGGCCCAGACUCCUACGGGAGGCAGCAGUGGGGAAUAUUGCGCAAUGGAGGAAACUCUGACGCAGCGAUGCCGCGUGAGUGACGACGUCUUUCGGGAUGUAAAGCUCUGUCAAGAGGGACGAUAAUGACGGUACCUCUGGAGGAAGCCCCGGCUAACUACGU